CAGACUCUGUACCACAACACAGAUUGGAUAAUAAUAGUCUCCAACUCUGAUUGGUUAAGAUUAUCCAACCAGAGAUAGAGAUUGUUAUCCAAUAAGAGUUGUCAAAAAGGUUCCCGCUCAUGCAAUCAGAACCAGGCUUCCAGGAUAUAGCAGUUGAGUACAGCCUUUAUAAAAGGGAGGGGACGGCCCACUCCGCCAUUUUCUCAUCAUGGUGGCUGGGCUGUGGUGCUGCUCUGUACAGUGGUCAUCAUGGACCAGAAGCUUGUGCAGCUUGCCUGCUUCCAGACCAGCAUCAGAGGAGCGUGUCCCAGGUGCAGGCGAAGCUUCCUUCACGUGUUCCUAGAGGACUUUCCGCCUACAAGCGCUUUCUUAUCCUCCCCCAAUGUCUCCGGCCUCAUUGAGGUGUGGCAGCGCCUGACAUUUGCCCCAAGUCAGUAUCCGGAUUCUGCUCAGAUCCUCUGCCUUUGCCUGACAAUGCUUCGGAUCAUCUUCUCAUGACUUAAACAUGCUGGAAGGCUCUUGAAGGUACAUUUAUAUUACAUGUUGGGAGGUACAGAGGCACAGGUAGAGUGGAGAAGCAUAAGUGCCUGGUGGAGAAAUUCACCUCUGCCCAGUUUCUUCUCUGCUUGGAGAGCCUGGAAUGCAGAGCCAGCUCUCUGGAUUUGUAUGCCCCUCAUCCAUUUUAGGUGCACACUGUGGCUGUUCCUGCCCUGCACCUUGUUACUACUGUCCUUUGUCCUUGGGGUAACCCAGCCUUGGCCUCCUCAGAUGUCAAAUCUUCUUGUUCCUGAUGCUUUGCCAGAAUGCUCUGCGUAUCUCUGGGCUUCUUGUGCUCCUCUUCAGCCCUGGCCCUCUAGGGUGGGGGACAUUAGUGGAGGGUUUCCCAUAUCUCCUUUUUCUUUGGAAGAGAAUUGGGGUAAAGCCGUGUAUUUUCUUUCCAUUUUCUCUUACUUUCUCUCAGUAGAAAUUAUUCAAAGUCUAAGCCUGUAAAUGAUAUUGGACUACAAGAUUUUUAUUGUGUCUUAGAUUCUUUUUGUUGGGAUUUGUGGAUUAAGAUGCUCAUGGUCAAAUUGCCAUCUUAUCCUGUUUGAUUUUGUUGUUGUAUAUAUUUAUAAUGAAAUUUGAAAGUGAAAUUCGGAAAAUACUGUUUGACACUUGCAACACAGAGUACUUCAUAAUUUCUGUCUCAUGAUGAGAGUGUCAAAUUUCUCUUAGAUUUGUUUUGUGCAAAACAAUAAGUAUUUAGAGAAAAUUACACUCCAGGCAAGGACAUAGAAUGAGCAAAGGCACAGAGGCAAGACAUAGAAGU